UCCCGCCACCCAAGGAUCUCUGUCCUA
rnacentral:piRNA from 1 species